UACGUAGGGUGCGAGCGUUGUCCGGAAUUAUUGGGCGUAAAGAGCUCGUAGGCGGUGUGUCGCGUCGGCCGUGAAAACCUGGGGCUUAACUCUGGGCGUGCGGUCGAUACGGGCAUCACUGGAGUUCGGCAGGGGAGACUGGAAUUCCUGGUGUAGCGGUGAAAUGCGCAGAUAUCAGGAGGAACACCGGUGGCGAAGGCGGAUCUCUGGGCCUUACCUGACGCUCAGGCGCGAAAGCUAGGGGAGCGAACUGG
rnacentral:rRNA from 1 species